CCUCCCUCUAACAGGACUCUGUGUGGAGAACAUGAGAACCAGACCAAAGCUCAGAGGAAGAGGCAGCUGAACACAGCAGACUCUCCUGGACCUGGACCUGCUCCCCUCUGUGUGUCCAUGGAGAGUGACAGGUCGAUGGAGCAACCCCACACCUUUAAAUCUGCACAAAGACCUGCUGAUGAGGGCGUCAGCCAGCAGAGCUCCCAGGUUCUCCGUGGAGGCUCCGCCCCUCAGCAUCAAACACAUCUGGACCUCAUCUUUACGGUGAGAACAAGUCUCC